UCAGGAUUCUGAGGGCACCCAUAGCCCUUAAUGGCUUUCAUCAGCCUCGCCUGGGGCCCACCCCAUCCCAGCCCGUGGGCCUUGGAGCCCGCUUUCUGCUCAGCCUAGACUAUGUCCUGGUUUCAGCUGGGACAGAGUUAAUUUUCUUCAUGGUGGCUGGUAUUUCUGAAAAGGAGCUAUGUAAACCUCAAACUUGUAUGCAUGAACUACAUAUAGCUAGAGCUACCAGCUGCAUGCAGAUAUUUAGCCACCUCAGCACACCUGACAGGUGAGCACCAUGUCAGACACACCUGAUGAGUCUGCCCUUCAGCAGCCCCCAAGGAAGCCACCAGCUGGUGGUCAGGCAGUUGCAUUGAGAGAAGGGAGGCUCAGCACAUGCUAUCUUCAGCCACAUCAGAGACCACUCUUUCUGCAGAAUAUAGAAUAAUAUAGAUCUUUGUGUUGAUAUAGUACUCAGAAAAUUCUUCCAAGUCUCGUAACUCCUGUGAUUUAUAGCUUAUCUCUGCCUCAAAAAGUAUGCGGGGGAACUGGAGAAGAUUCAGAGAAGGUCAACAAGGAUGAUCAACAGCGUAAAGCAGGAAGAAAUUACAUUUUGGAUAAAUUGGCAUCUCCAGGUCUAGGACUACUGUGCUCACUGAGGAGGAAUAAAAUGGAGAAGCUGCAGGAAUUCAAACAGAAGUUAAUAUUCUUCUUUUCAGCAAUGUCAAACGCUUUCCAUUUUUCAUACUUAGUUUCUCAGAUAUGGAAAUAAUUGGAGCUGCAGAAAUAAUCAUCUCUCCUGAGUAAACAUGCAUCAUUUUUGCAUAUGGCUUUUUCCUCUCUCUUUUAUUUUUAUCAAAAUGACUUGACAGAAGAACGUGUUUUCAACAGCACAUUAUAUAAAAUAUUUAAAGUAAUUCUUUAUAAAUGGAUUUUAAAAUUACUUGGUGUUUGGUGAAAUGUUCAUUUCUUUAGCGUGGAUCCCUGAUACUGAGAAAGACAGAAGUGUGGUAGAGAGUACGAAUUCUAAGGUAGAUAUGUAGAAGUGAAUUUGCAUUUCUGCAGAGGUAAAAAU
rnacentral:lncRNA from 1 species